UGUUGCAGAAGUAUUUGAUUCUCUCCCUUUUGUCUGCCUGGCUUAUGCGCAGAGAGACAGGGCGAUUGUCUUGCUGUUUUCUUUCUCGAAUCGUUAUUACAGUUCUCGGCGAUUUCUGCUGUCACAGCUGGUGUCUGUACAGUAUUCCCGAUGGCUUCUCCAUCCACACGGAUCUCUCUCCCCCUCUGUCUGUGCUCGGGCUAUUUGCACAGCGUCUCUCUGCAAAUAGACCGGCGAACAGCACCACAAGGAAACUUCUGCCUGCGUACAACGCCGAGCCACCUCCGGACUCUGCAGAUCAGCAUCAUCUGACUUUGGACUGGGACCAGCUGAGCGAUGGGGAGAACGUGGGGAGAAACCCGGAGACAAAGCUCGUUCCUUGUGCCACAACUCCUCAAGCUGCCCGCCCCCGGACCACGCAGGCACCCAGGAAAAAAAUACCUGUCAGGACAAGGCAAAAUCCUUCCUGGUAGCAGAGAACCUGACCUCUAUUACCAGUAUAUUCAACAUAAGGAUAUUCCUGGCCUUUCUGCACUCCUGCAGCUUCCAUUAAUUCAUUAUCUGUCAACGCUGAUUUUUUGAGCUGCUGCACAUUGGAUGUUUUCAGAGAAUUAUUCACAAUGACUCCAAAGUCUCUCUUUUGAGUGGUGAUAGCUAAUUUAGUCUUGUGAUGGGGUGGACUAGGUGCAAAGCCCCAUGCUGGAGGCUGAAUGCCUUGCCACAUCCCACCCCCAAGGAGAAGAGCAGAAAAUAGGUCCUCCAAGCAGAUUAGAGUGGCUGCUUCUUCUGCAGCCAAUCAGGGCCUAGCACAGUGAUAUAAAAGAAGCUGUUGGGCCAGGGCCUGGCAGUUCCCCACUGGAGCUUGACCCAGCCAAACCUAGGGAUUGACUGGGAGGACAGUGGCACCUCAGACAGCUCCUAGUGUGAGCUGAUUUCCAGACUUGUUGGAAACCCAGGCCCAGUGGUGAACGACUAGCUAUAAUAAGUACAGUAAUUGUAGAAUCCCAGACAGGGGAAGGUGAGAAUUUGAACUUAAAGUCCUGAGAGAGGGGGCUAGACAAAGCUACUUCUUGGCAAAGUGGUCCAGGGAGCGAGAUAACAGUGGACUGCAGUGAUAGUGUGCAGGCAACUACUUACAGGGUCCCUGGGCUGGGACCCAGAGGAGUGGGCGAGCCUCCUCCUCCCCCCCGCAACCUCAAGCUGGUACAACAAGGGGCUAAGAAGAAGCCUGGUUCCAGGCAACAAAUCAGAAAACCAUGUGGGGUACUUCCACUUCCUGGCUUUGUCUACA